rnacentral:pre_miRNA from 1 species
ACAUGCUUCUUUAUAUCUCCAUAUGAAUUGCCUUGCUAUGGAAUGUAAGGAAGUGUGUGG